UACGUAGGGUGCAAGCGUUGUCCGGAAUUAUUGGGCGUAAAGAGCUCGUAGGCGCUUCGUCACGUCGGCUGUGAAAUCCCGAGGCUCAACCUCGGGUCUGCAGUCGAUACGGGCGGACUGGAGUACUGCAGGGGAGACUGGAAUUCCUGGUGUAGCGGUGAAAUGCGCAGAUAUCAGGAGGAACACCAGUGGCGAAGGCGCCACUCUGGGCCGUAACUGACGCUGAGGAGCGAAAGCGUGGGUAGCAAACAGG
rnacentral:rRNA from 1 species